UAUCACGUAUUUUUGUUAUAUAAUAAUACAAUCUUGAAUUCCAGACAAAGGCGUGUAAUAGUGCGUACCUACUGUAUGAAUAUCGAAACGAUAAACGUGAAUGCUUUAACAAGAUUAUAUUUUAUUAAGUACUACUCAUUCAAGUAUAACCAAUUAAAAGUUCUAUGACCUCAAGACGAUGUAUAUGUUUUAAACCUUUUUAUUUUAAAACUGGAAAGUCUCAAGUUUUUGAAAAUCAUUCGCAAGACGACAUUCAAAAGUUACUAAUAUCUACAACACUAUUGUAUUGUGUAGAUAUGAAUGAAGCGCUCGUGUUAGCUGCAUGCAAGUGUGUUUUAGACGUUUUAGUGUUGCGCUUGCAGUUAAUGAAUAUUUAUUUUUUACCCGUUGGCAUUCGAAACGUCGUAACCGUUUAUAGGCGAAUAGGACACAGGACGAGUUUAAUUUUAUUUAUUAUUAUUUAUUACGAUAGAAUAAUAAUUACGACGAAGGCAGCGGUGAGUAAUGAACAAUUUAAAAAUAUUUGUUUUCAAAUAUAUAUAUAUAUAUUAAUAUAUUUAGUAUAAUAACUAUGUUUUUAAUAUAAUCAUAAUAAAAUGACGAAUUAUUAAUAAACUUACAAUAAUAAAAAACAUAAUUAUUACAAAGACAAGUACACAUUAUAAAAAUAAAGGGCGCAAUUUGUACAAAAUAUUUUUUAUAUAGUAUUGUAUAAUAUAAAUUGAAUUAAUUAUUUUAUACAUACAUGUUUUAAAAAAACGCAAUAUAUAUGUGAACGGGACAAUGUGGAUUACCUAACUAAAAUGUAACGGUUGGGGUUUUAAUACAUAAUAAAUGCACAUAUUGUAUUGAUUGUGUUUUGAAUUAAAAUUCGGGUAGUUAAAUAUAUUUUUUUUUUUGAUUUUUGCACUUAAAUACGAAAACAUAUAAACAAAAACGUGUGUGUAUUGGUGAUAGGAAUGUCCAGCGGCAGUAUUAAAAGUAGCAAUUUGCGGUUGCAGCUGCUGCCACCGUCGCAUUGAUGUGUUAACCGUAACUGUUUACAAUUAAUCAUGGGAACAGGGAUAAAUUACACAGGGGAUUAGGGGAACGGACGGAACAGUCGAUCGAAUUCGAGUACGACGUCGAUUAAAAAAAAAAAGCGUAUAAAAAAAAGGAAACAAAAUAAUAUUACGUAUAAUAAUUAAAAAAAAAAAACGUAUUAAAUUGUGUGAGCACCUGUAUAUAAAUCC